GGAAACUGACCAGGAGCAGCAGCAGCAAGGCUGGGCCAGCCGUGGAAAAGACUGUCCGAAUCGUCAGCCCCAGUGCCCCCAGCCCUAGGACGCUGUCGAGGAGCUGGGCCAGAAAGCUGCCAGAGGAUGUGCUUCAGCAAAAUCAGGCAUUAAACCGCAAGGACAAUACGAGACUAAAGAAAUGAGGCUAAGUACAGGAAAGCAAUGAUGAGAAAGGCUCAGGAUGUCAGCUGUGCUUCCCAGUGAAGAAAGCAAACAACCCAGCCUGGACUCAAAAGCAAGAUGCUCCGGGAGGGAUGUCUCCAGAAGAAAAUGAGAUCGAUUAUCUGCGGGUUUUAGAUAUGUUAAAAAUAAAUGUUCAGUUCCGCUGGUUG